rnacentral:rRNA from 1 species
UUGACCUCAAAUCAGGCGGGACUACCCGCUGAACUUAAGCAUAUCAAUAAGCGGAGGAAAAGAAACUAACAAGGAUUCCCCUAGUAACUGCGAGUGAAGCGGGAUGAGCUCAAAUUUAAAAUCUGGCGUCUUCGGCGUCCGAGUUGUAAUUUAGAGAAGCGUUUUCCGCGCAGGACCGUGUACAAGUCUCCUGGAACGGAGCGUCAUAGAGGGUGAGAAUCCCGUCUUUGACACGGACCCCCUGUGCUCUGUGAUACGCUCUCGAAGAGUCGAGUUGUUUGGGAAUGCAGCUCAAAAUGGGUGGUGAACUCCAUCUAAAGCUAAAUAUUGGCGAGAGACCGAUAGCGAACAAGUACCGUGAGGGAAAGAUGAAAAGCACUUUGGAAAGAGAGUGAAACAGUACGUGAAAUUGUUGAAAGGGAAACGCUUGAAGUCAGUCGCGUCCGCCGGGAUUCAGCCGCAAGGUGUACUUUCCGGUGGACGGGCCAGCAUCACUUUCGAUCAUCGGAAAAGGGCGAGUGGAAUGUGGCACCUCCGGGUGUGUUAUAGCCUCUCGCCGUAUACGGUGACCGGGAGUGAGGACCGCCUUUUUGUAGGAUGCUGGCGUAAUGGCUUUAAACGACCCGUCUUGAAACACGGACCAAGGAGUCUAACAUGCCCGCGAGUGUUCGGGUGGAAAACCCGUGCGCGUAAUGAAAGUGAAAGUUGGGAAGGCUGUCGCGGCCUGCACCGACGCCCGGACUUGAGAUUCAUCGAAGGUUCUGCGG